UCCUAUAUUCAGAGAGCAAGAGUGGAAGCAGGGAGACAAGUCAAAGAGCUGUUCAAUAUCCAGGUAAGGCUGUCAAUGACUCCAGGACAAGACUUGAAAAAGUGAAUUGAAUAACAGCCCCAAGGACUCAGCAGUUUCAAAAGUCUGAAUGUGCAAUGAAGACACUGGCGCCUGUCACAAGGGGCUCCCAGCAGUCAUUGGCCUCCAGGGUGGCCUUCCACCAAGCAAACCUGCCUAAGCCACUGAGCCUCCUCUUUCUGAUAUUUUCACAAGCCCCCCCUUGCUGUGGAGAUGAAAUCCAGUGUACAGGACCUCCAGGA